GAUGAACGCUGGCGGCGUGCCUAAUACAUGCAAGUCGAGCGAACAGACGAGGAGCUUGCUCCUCUGACGUUAGCGGCGGACGGGUGAGUAACACGUGGAUAACCUACCUAUAAGACUGGGAUAACUUCGUGAAACCGGAGCUAAUACCGGAUCAUAUAUUGAACCGCAUGGUUCAAUAGUGAAAGACGGUUUUGCUGUCACUUAUAGAUGGAUCCGCGCCGCAUUAGCUAGUUGGUAAGGUAACGGCUUACCAAGGCAACGAUGCGUAGCCGACCUGAGAGGGUGAUCGGCCACACUGGAACUGAGACACGGUCCAGACUCCUACGGGAGGCAGCAGUAGGGAAUCUUCCGCAAUGGGCGAAAGCCUGACGGAGCAACGCCGCGUGAGUGAUGAAGGUCUUCGGAUCGUAAAACUCUGUUAGUAGGGAAGAAAAAAUGUGUAAGUAACUAUGCACGUCUUGACGGUACCUAAUCAGAAAGCCACGGCUAACUACGUG
rnacentral:rRNA from 1 species